GCCAGUCGCUCGAUCCCCUCGCCGUGGCAUGCAGGACUCCCUCCGGUCUCUCCUGGAAUUCGCCUCGCCGGGGUCGGAGCCUUAGCUCCCCUCAGGCCUGGCGCCUGUUGGAUUUCACCGCAGCCGGCUGUCUCCAGGGUGAGCUCAGCUUACCGCCUCCCGGUCCUGAUUUUUCUCGCUCCUCCUAUUCCUUCUCCCUCCACACGGGGUUGAAUCAGGCUCCUCUGACUUUGUAGCUACUCCGCGCGAGUGCGCACUGCAAAUCUCUUCUUUUCUUGGAUACUUGUGGCUGGACCUGCACAACUCUCAAACUCUCCCUAUGCAUCUGGAAUGGAUACAAAUAUACAAUUACUGUGAAAAAGCUCGUAUUUUUCUAAUCUUCAGCAGCUUUCAUCUUUCCCUUUACUAAUUACUAGCUGCUAAAAGGGGAAUACUGGUUCCCCAUCUGGUGAUGCAUUGCUAGUUGCUACCCACUGGGUAAGACAAAAACAAGGUAGUAUCAAUAAGAAAACAGUGGUUACCACUUUCUACAUUACUGAGAAAAUUGCCUUUUACUAAUCAUGAUUCCAUUUCAAACAAUAGAGGGUACAUUUGAUGGGACUAUGGGAGCGAUGAGUCAAUAUGCUAUUUGAAGAGUCGGUUGUAGAUCGAGGUCAAUAUGACCACAUAAACUGGCUGAUUGUGUGAACAAGCCACAACAAUGUGAAAUCAACAUAGUGCUAUACCAAAGUAUAGCUAUGCAAUCGCUUUGAGAUGCUAAGAAUAUAAGAAAUAUCCUAUAUCCAUCUCCUACCUGGUGUGUUCUUUGUGUGUGUAUUUUCACUAUGUGUAGAUCCUAGAUCCUGAACUAACAGAGAGUAGUACGAAUACAGAAGUAAUUUGAUGACCAAGCCUCUGUUUCAGCCCUAAAAGAAGAAUAAUAAAAGAGCCCUCUUUCUGCUUUGCAUACCCAGAUGAUGACUGGAAUUUAUCUCUACAGGAAAACCACACACACUUGGCCCAUUUUCAUGUCCUACAAGACUCCAAUAGUAUUUUCCAAGUCUCACUUCCACCACCUGGGUGGCUCAUCUGCCCAAGGGGUUCUGUGCUGAAGUAGCAUGCUAACAUUCAGUCCCUCACGCUCUUUCCAUCACAGUUCUAAAAUCUACAUCAUGCAAAGGGCACAAACCGGUAACUGUAAGAAUUUCUAUUUGAGAACUUUCUGAAUGGUUGUAAGUUUUGACAAUGCAUGGCCUUGGAUGUAAAAAAAUGUUCCUGCCUGAUUAAUUUU
rnacentral:lncRNA from 1 species